GACAGAGGAUGCAAGCGUUAUCCGGAAUGAUUGGGCGUAAAAGGCGUCUGUAGGUGGCUUUUUAAGUCUGCCGUCAAAUCCCCAGGGCUCAACCCUGGACAGGCGGUGGAAACUACCAAGCUGGAGUACGGUAGGGGUAGAGGGAAUUUCCAGUGGAGCGGUGAAAUGCGUAGAUAUUGGAAAAGACCACCAAUGGCGAAGGCACUCUACUGGGCCAUUACUGACACUGAGAGACGAAAGCUAGGGGAGCAAAUGGG
rnacentral:rRNA from 1 species